AGAACAGCCCAGAGUGGGAGAGACCUCAGAAGAUCAUCUGGUCCAAGCUUUUAUGGAAAUAGGAGCCUAGAGGAGAUUAUCGAAUCCCCUGUCCAGUCCCACCUUGAAAACACCCCGAGCUGGCCUGUGAGUACUGGAAUACUGCAGUGAGGUUUCCCCUGAACAUUCUCCUCUCCUGGGAGAAAAGACCCAACUCCUUCAGUCCUCACUCACAAGGGGAGGUCAGAGAAGUUCUUGUCCCUGAGAAGAGCACCAUUAAAACCAUAUUAAAGCAUUGAAAACUCGA